GUCGUGCUGGCGCAAUGGUAGCGCGCCAGCCUCCUAAGCUGGAAGUUACGAGUUCGAGUCUCGUGUACGAUG